ensembl:lncRNA
UUUUUGGUUACUACAUGAUUCCAUAUGUGUUAUUUCGUAGUUUUGUUGUCUUCACUGUUAUUCUACAAUGUAGAAAAUAGUAAAAAAUAAAGAAAACCCUUGAAUGAGUAGGUGUAAAACCUUUGACCGGUAGUGUACUAAACCUUGCAUAGAGCCAAUACAUUCUAUACACUUUAUACUGGAUUACGUUUAUAUUUUGUUUAACUUUCAUUUAGUUAUGUUCCAACUUUCCCUCCAUCUUGUGCCAACAUCAGUUCUUUUUAAGUCUUGGUUCCAAUAGUUUAUAGUUGUUUUUCUAAGAGAUGCAAGAGACAAAAUUCACAACUUCUACAGCACAAACGGCAGAGUCAUGUCUUCAGUGUAAAACUAACAAUGACUCAAUAACCCAUGCAUUCUGGGAAUGUUAUGAUGUCAUAAAGAUACGGGCGGAGUUGGAACGUUGGCUGUCAGAAGUAUUACAAUGUAAACUUCAUUUUAAAUCCGUCUGUCUGCAUAUUUCAGGACAUGACAUAUGAAGGGUGUAAUGAGAGACCCAUGGGGGGGGGGGAUACUUUACUCGUCAAUGAUUUAGAAGAAAACGUUGACCUAAAAAAAACUGGAAAUCACAUGAUCAUACAUCAUUACAACAGUGGAUGAAUCCAAAUGUUUAUUUAAAUAUUGAAAAUGUGUGGGCUACGGAGAAACAUUCUACAGUGCCAUUUGAGGCCAUAUUUCAUAGAGUUCUACAAGCACCGGAACCUUCCAGGGGAGGACGGAUGAGGGGGGGGGACAUAUGUGAUGUGUACAGUAACAGUGGGAACAUGUGGGUCUGAGCAGGUGUGAUGUCAUUGAUGUUUUGGUAACAUUAGUGGUCUGUUUAUGGUCUUUGUUUAUGCAUGUUGUUAUUGUAAAAUUAUAUUUCAACAUGAAAACACUCACAGUUUACAGUUAUACACUUUACAGUUAUACACUUUACAGUUAACAUUCACACUUUACAGUUAACACUCAUACUUUACAGUUAUACACUUUACAGUUAACACUCAUACUUUACAGUUAUACACUUUACAGUUAACACUCAUACUUUACAGUUAUACACUUUACAGUUAACAUUCACACUUUACAUUAACACUCAUACUUUACAGUUAUACACUUUACAGUUAACACUCAUACUUUACAGUUAUAUACUUUACAGUGAACACUCACACUAUACAGGUAACACUCACACUUUACAAUUAUACACUUUACAGUUAACACUCAAACUUUACAAUUAUACACUUUACAGUUAACACUCACACUUUACAGUUCAAACUUUACAGUUAUACACUUUACAGUUAACAUUCACACUUUACAGUAACACUCAUACUUUACAGUUAUACACUUUACAGUGAACACUCACACUAUACAGGUAACACUCACACUUUACAAUUAUACACUUUACAGUUAACACUCACACUUUACAAUUAUACACUUUACAGUUAACACUCAAACUUUACAAUUAUACACUUUACAGUUAACACUCACACUUUACAGUUCAAACUUUACAGUUAUACACUAUACAGUUACCCUCACACUUUACAGUUAACAUUCACACUGUACAGUUAUACACUUUACAGUUCACACUCACACUUUACAGUUCACACUCAUAGUUAACACUCAAACAUCAAAACAUCAAUAUACACACUUAGUGCCACAUUAUAUUUGGCUCUGUUGUAUCAAAGGCCCUAUAGUUUCCUAAUGUCCCUGGGCCUAUACGGCUGUAUAUGGGGCUACAUAUAGGGGCUAUACCCCAAACUGGAAAUGAUCACAUCUGGAAUGCUAUAGGUUCACUCUCUGCCUUAAAUGAGUCAGCUGGGAUCUGAAAACAGAGACAGAACGUUCCUCAUCUGUCUGAACUCUUAACCAUCUCAGAGACAAGACGUUUCUCAUCUGUCUGAACUCUUAACCAUCUCAGAGACAAGACGUUUCUCAUGUGUCUGAACUCUUAAACCAUCUCAGAGACAAGACGUUCCUCAUCUGUCUGAACUCUUAAACCAUCUCAGAGACAAGACGUUUCUCAUCUGUCUGAACUCUUAACCAUCUCAGAGACAAGACGUUUCUCAUCUGUCUGAACUCUUAACCAUCUCAGAGACAAGACGUUCCUCAUCUGUCUGAACUCUUAACCAUCUCAGAGACAAGACGUUUCUCAUCUGUCUGAACUCUUAACCAUCUCAGAGACGAGACGUUCCUCAUCUGUCUGAACUCUUAACCAUCUCAGAGACAAGACGUUUCUCAUCUGUCUGAACCCUUAACCAUCUCAGAGACAAGACAUUUCUCAUCUGUCUGAACCCUUAACCAUCUCAGAGACAAGAUGUUUCUCAUCUGUCUGAACUCUUAACCAUCUCAGAGACAAGACGUUUCUCAUCUGUCUGAACUCUUAACCAUCUCAGAGACAAGACGUUUCUCAUCUGUCUGAACUUUUAACCAUCUCAGAGACAAGACGUUUCUCAUCUGUCUGAACUCUUAACCAUCUCAGAGACAAGACGUUUCUCAUCUGUCUGAACUCUUAACCAUCUCAGAGACAAGGCGUUUCUCAUCUGUCUGAACUCUUUACCCUCUCAGAGACAAAGGCUGGGGAUCCCUGAUUAGAGGGGAAUCACCCAUGUGCUGUCCCAGGUUUAAAUCAAGCCCUGAUUAGAGAGGAAUCACCCACGUGCUGUUCCAGGUCUAAAUCAGGCCCAGAUUAGAGAGGAAUCGCCCACGUGUUGUCCCAGGUCUAAAUCAGGACCUGAUUAUAGGGGAAUCACCCACGUGCUGUUCCAGGUCUAAAUCAGGCCCUGAUUAUAGGGGAAUCGCCCACGUGUUGUCCUAGGUCUAAAUCAGGACCUGAUUAUAGGGGAAUCGCCCACGUGCUGUUCCAGGUCUAAAUCAGGCCCUGAUUAUAGGGGAAUCGCCCACGUGUUGUCCCAGGUCUAAAUCAGGCCCUGAUUAGAGGGGAAUCGCCCACGUGCUGUCCCAGGUCUAAAUCAGGCCCUGAUUAUAGGGGAAUCGCCCACGUGUUGUCCCAGGUCUAAAUCAGGCCCUGAUUAUAGAGGAAUCGCCCACCUGCUGUCCCAGGUCUAAAUCAGGCCCUGAUUAUAGGGGAAUCGCCCACGUGUUGUCCCAGGUCUAAAUCAGGCCCUGAUUAGAGGGGAAUCGCCCACGUGUGGUCCCAGGUGUAAAUCAGGCCCUGAUUAUAGGGGAACAAUGAUAAAAGCAGCAGAACAGUCUUCCCAGGGCCAGAGUUGAAUUUGAGGAUUACAGGGAAAAGGAUGCCAUUUCAAACACACCCAUAAUGUUUCUAAACCAUCUCUUCCUCUGGCUGCUAAACUGGGGAGUCCAACAGCGUCUAACUGAGUCACACUAACUGGCUAUAAGGAUUAUUAUAAUAACUGGCUAGAACCAUGGAACCAGAGGUUAGAACUGGCUAGAACCAUGGAACCAUAGUUGAGAACUGGCUAAAACCAUGGAACCAUAGUUGAGAACUGGUUAGAACUGGCCAGAACCAUGGAACCAUAGUUGAGAACUGGUUAGAACUGGCUAGAACCAUGGAACCAUAGUUGAGAACUGGUUAGAACUGGCUAGAACCAUGGAACCAUAGUUGAGAACUGGCUAGAACCAUGGAACCAUAGUUGAGAACUGGUUAGAACUGGCUAGAACCAGGGAACCAUAGUUGAGAACUGGUUAGAACUGGCUAGAACCAUAGUUUAGAACUGGUUAAAACCAUAGAACCAUGCCUGUCUGUCUGUCUGGCCUAGAUUCUAAUACGCUACAGGAAUCUCUAUGCACCCUGACUAGAACACACAGCUGUGAUGCGAUUCGGAGGUUGACAUUAAUAAGGAUUCUAGAGAAAACGUGAUGAUCUGAACCAUGUGUGUCUGUGAUGUAAUUACACGUCUUUGUGAUGACGAAGAGCACAACUCUUUAUUGAUGAAACACUCGCCUGUCUGAACCUCUGCGUAGUCUAAUAUCGGGGCGCUGCUAUUGGCCCGUGAGCACAAAGGGGGAAAUCCGAUUGGUUGUGGCGGUGCUUUGCUUGGUUUUCUAUGUAACUCUGUUUCUUGGCAAAUUUAAUGAAACUGUUUUUUUUCUUCUUUUCAUAAUGUGGCAUUUGUAUUUCAACUUAAAGCCCAAUAAAACUUCACAGUGUAAAAAGUUCCCUGAGAAA